ensembl:lncRNA
AUUUCUUUUUUUCAAAGUUUAUUCUCUCAGUGUCAUAUUCUAUGAUGUUAGUCAAAAGUGGCACAUUACUACACAACAACAACAAAAAAAAACCGUCAGAUUGUCUUACUCAUAGGAGUGUAUAUAAACCGAUAAGCCAUAAGAUUAAAACCACCUGUCUAAUAUUGUCUAGAUCCCCUUUGUGCCACCAAAACAGCUCUGACUUGUUGAGGCAUGGACUCCACAAGACCACUGAAGGUGUUCUGUGGUACCUGGCACCAAGAUGUUAGCAGCAGAUCCUUUAAGUCUUGUAAGUUGCGAGGUGGUAGCUUCAUGGAUCGGACUUGUUUGUCCAGCACAUCCCAGGAAUGUAGAGGCUGAGUCAACACCAUGAACAUGUUCUUUAUGUUCAUCAAACCAUUCCUGAACAAUUUUUGCAGUGUGGCAGGAGGCAUUAUCCUGCUGAAAGAGGCCACUGCCAUUAGGGAAUAUCAUUGCUAUGAAGGGAUGUACUUGGUCUGCAACAAUAUUUAGUGAAAAAAUGUCCUCAGCGUGAGCCACAGUGGGUAGUGGGCUCGGGAUGUGACUGAUGUAGAUGUCAGCACUGUGCCAUGAAUCCCUCAUGAUCCAUAGCUUUUUCACCUGCUGCCAUCUGUAUAGCCCCUCACCCGGGGCCACCCCAACUGAGGGACGCCAAGCAUCCAUGGAGAUGGUUAUUAUUAAUGACGACCAUGCACCAUGCUGGAAAACAUGGAGAUGAAAUAGUGUGUGAAAUCCACACCUGUUUGCAGUAGCAGAGGUGCUGUGGAUCCUUCCCCAGGACCACCUGACCCGGGAGUUUGCCGGGAGGUCGGAUCUUAUUGGUGAACACAGAGAGAUGGGAGUCUAGGCAUCAAUCUUUGAGAUGACAGCUGGAGAGAACUACUGAGGGAAUAUGACUAAUGAGAACAAAAGUCUGAGGGUCUAUCACUUAGAAUAAGUUUAGAAGUUUAGAAGGCUUGAUUCAAAACACUUUCUCAAAAUAGUUUACCUGAUGCUAAUCUGUUCAGCUCACAAACACACAGCAGUGUUACAACAUUUUACAGCUUUAAAG